CAUUAACAUAGUUGCAUUUACUGUUGCUUUAUUUAUUCUGUUAGAGAAUAAAUUUGCCAUUUUGUUUAGGUGUUUUCUGUUCGGUGUGGACGUGAAUCUGUUCAGAGACAUUCUAUGACGUUGCGCCGGUUGUGCUUAUGCACCAAAGGUUUCUGCUGAUGAGAGAGGAUGUCACAGCAAUGGUGAAGCAAGGCCUUCUAUUGUGACCCCAGUAAACCUCAGAGGUCAAAGUGAUGAGCCAGGUUUACCACAGGACUCGCUUCAUUGUCCUACGUCCAUAGCCUUGCAUCCAAUGCUGUGCACAGUUCAUUGGAGCCUAACUACUGUUGACGUUUGGUGAGUGAUCAGGUGAACUGAUGCGGGGAACCAAACUUACGCUGAUCAUUCAUUAGUCAUUCAUCACUGUCACAGAGACGGCUCCUCCUCAGUGCAGCAUUAUACUUUGCCCUAAACAAGUUGUAAAGGCCUCUGCUCCUCCACGUCACAACAGUGAUGCUGUCCUCACACCAAAGACUGGCCAGAUACCUGGAAGCAGCAGUUCUACAGCCCGUGGAUCAUCAAAGGUCACAAUGUUACAUCUUCACAAUUACACUGUGCUCUGUUAAGAGUUUUGGUUUGUGCCCACAAUGGACGGAUUCA